GAUGAACGCUGGCGGCGUGCCUAAUACAUGCAAGUAGAACGCUGAAGCUUGGUGCUUGCACCGAGCGGAUGAGUUGCGAACGGGUGAGUAACGCGUAGGUAACCUGCCUGGUAGCGGGGGAUAACUAUUGGAAACGAUAGCUAAUACCGCAUGACAACAGUUAUUGCAUGAUAACUGUUUAAAAGGGGCAAUCGCUCCACUACCAGAUGGACCUGCGUUGUAUUAGCUAGUUGGUGAGGUAACGGCUCACCAAGGCGACGAUACAUAGCCGACCUGAGAGGGUGAUCGGCCACACUGGGACUGAGACACGGCCCAGACUCCUACGGGAGGCAGCAGUAGGGAAUCUUCGGCAAUGGACGGAAGUCUGACCGAGCAACGCCGCGUGAGUGAAGAAGGUUUUCGGAUCGUAAAGCUCUGUUGUAAGAGAAGAACGAGUGUGAGAGUGGAAAGUUCACACUGUGACGGUAUCUUACCAGAAAGGGACGGCUAACUACGUGCCAGCAGCCGCGGUAAUACGUAGGUCCCGAGCGUUAUCCGGAUUUAUUGGGCGUAAAGCGAGCGCAGGCGGUUAGAUAAGUCUGAAGUUAAAGGCUGUGGCUUAACCAUAGUACGCUUUGGAAACUGUUUAACUUGAGUGCAAGAGGGGAGAGUGGAAUUCCAUGUGUAGCGGUGAAAUGCGUAGAUAUAUGGAGGAACACCGGUGGCGAAAGCGGCUCUCUGGCUUGUAACUGACGCUGAGGCUCGAAAGCGUGGGGAGCAAACAGG
rnacentral:rRNA from 1 species